GGGGGAAAUUGGAGAAUGGGGGAAAACCCGAUGCAGCCAUGCCGCGUGUGUGAAGAAAGGGUUCGGAGUGUUAAGCACCUUAAGUUGGGGGGAAGGGGUGCAAGGUAAUAUCUUGUAGUCUUGACGGUAACAGCAGAAUAAGCACCCGCUUACUUUGUGCCAGCAGCCGCGGUAAUACGAAGGGUGCAAGCGUUAAUCGGAAUUACUGGGCGUAAAGCGCGCGUAGGUGGUUUGGUAAGAUGGAUGUGAAAUCCCCGGGCUCAACCUGGGAACUGCAUCCAUAACUGCCUGACUAGAGUACGGUAGAGGGUGGUGGAAUUUCCUGUGUAGCGGUGAAAUGCGUAGAUAUAGGAAGGAACAUCAGUGGCGAAGGCGACCACCUGGACUGAUACUGACACUGAGGUGCGAAAGCGUGGGGAGCAAACA
rnacentral:rRNA from 1 species